CCUACGGGAGGCAGCAGCCGGAUUAAUACCGUUUUGGACAAUGGGGGAAACCCUGAUCCAGCAAUGCCGCGUGUGCGAAGAAGGCCUUCGGGUUGUAAAGCACUUUUGUCAGGGAAGAAAUCCUUUGGGCCCGGAUUAAUACCGCUAGGGGGAUGACGGUACCUGAAGAAUAAGCACCGGCUAACUACGUGCCAGCAGCCGCGGUAACCGGAUUAAUACCGUAGGGUGCAAGCGUUAAUCGGAAUUACUGGGCCCGGAUUAAUACCGAGCGUGCGCAGGCGGUUGUGUAAGACAGGUGUGAAAUCCCGGAUUAAUACCGUUAACCUGGGAAUUGCAUUUGUGACUGCACGACUAGAGUGUGUCAGACCGGAUUAAUACCGGGUGGAAUUCCACGUGUAGCAGUGAAAUGCGUAGAUAUGCCGGAUUAAUACCGACACCAAUGGCGAAGGCAGCCCCCUGGGAUAACACUGACGCUCAUGCCGGAUUAAUACCGAAGCGUGGGGCCGGAUUAAUACCGAAACAGGAUUAGAUACCCUGG
rnacentral:rRNA from 1 species